rnacentral:rRNA from 1 species
UGGGGAAUUUUGGACAAUAGGGGAAACCCUGAUCCAGCCAUCCCGCGUGUGCGAUGAAGGCCUUCGGGUUGUAAAGCACUUUUGGCAGGAAAGAAACGUCGCGGGUUAAUACCCCGCGAAACUGACGGUACCUGCAGAAUAAGCACCGGCUAACUACGUGCCAGCAGCCGCGGUAAUACGUAGGGUGCAAGCGUUAAUCGGGAUUACUGGGCGUAAAGCGUGCGCAGGCGGUUCGGAAAGAAAGAUGUGAAAUCCCAGAGCUUAACUUUGGAACUGCAUUUUUAACUACCGGGCUAGAGUGUGUCAGAGGGAGGUGGAACUCCGCGUGUAGCAGUGAAAUGCGUAGAUAUGCGGAGGAACACCGAUGGCGAAGGCAGCCUCCUGGGAUAACACUGACGCUCAUGCACGAAAGCGUGGGGAGCAAACAGGAUUAGAUACCCUGGUAGUCCACGCCCUAAACGAUGUCAACUAGCUGUUGGGGCCUUCGGGCCUUGGUAGCGCAGCUAACGCGUGAAGUUGACCGCCUGGGGAGUACGGUCGCAAGAUUAAAACUCAAAGGAAUUG